CGCUUUUGUCUGCGUACAGUUGGUGAAGUGUCACAGCAGUUACUAAGAACGAAGCAUGACUUGGAUUGUGAUGAAGUAAGAUUAUAAAGUAAGAUUUGAUGGAAGGCAGCCUUCCACCCCUCUUGGGGCUGUUGUGAUUCCAGACUUUCAUUAUGCUUUCUUAUCUCUCAUAAUCUAAAAGGGUUGUCCAAGACAACCAAAGCGUGCACCCUGGUUUCUUUGUACAAUUAUACUGCAAUGUGUGAUUUAAAAAAACAAAAUGAAAGGUUGCAGAUUCGCAUUCAGACAUUGUGUUCUUUUUUGUGCAGUUACCAUUGGGCGUCUCCCGUUAUUCACACAUCAAUUGAAACAAAUAUUGGCAUGACUUUGAUUUUCUUUGAAGAUUAAAGUUGUUAUCUUGAGCUAAUCAAGUAGGUCAGCAGUGACAGAAAGCAUGUGUUACGUUUCGGUGUUGUCAGUGUGUUCUUUUUGGCGUGACUGUUAUGUGUUUCCUGUUUUACUUUGAAAGUCUGUGUUAUCUUAGUCUUUUCAGUUUACGUUUCCCUGUCUCGUCAGUUCUGAGUUGCCCCAGCUGUGUUUCCCUCUUGUUGUCCAUUUUCCUGAUUGCUCCCUCUAGGUAUUUAAACCCUGUGUUUCAGUGUGUCAUGGUCGCGAUCUCCCCCGUGUUGUAAAUAGUUUGGUGUUUUGUUAUUUGUCGAUACUUUCGUUUCGGGAUUUUGGUGGUGAGCUUUAGUGGGGGGUUUUUGUGUGUGUUUUUUUUUUUUCCUUUAUUUUUACUUUUUUUGUGUUGCACUCCGGUUGCCUAGGCCGGGGUGUAACAUAUGGGGGCUCGUCCGGGAUUGCCUUCGCUGGGGGGUCCGGGGACCGCCCCAGCCUUUGUCGUCGCUGGAGGGUCCGUGGGACCGCUCCAGCCUUCAUCCGCCUUCGCUGGAGGGUCCGUGGGACUGCUCCAGCCUUCAUCCGCCUUCGCUGGAGGGUCCGAGGGACCGCUCCAGCCUUCGUCGUCUGCUGGAGGGUCAGUGGGACCGCUCCAGCCUUCAUCGGCUUCGUCUGUCUGGAUCAAACUUUUCACUUGGUGUUAAAUGUUUGAUUUUUGGGUGGGGGGAACUGUUACGUUUCGGUGUUGUCAGUGUGCUCUUUUUGGCGUGACUGUUAUGUGUUUCCUGUUUUACUUUGAAAGUCUGUGUUAUCUUAGUCUUUUCAGUUUACGUUUCCCUGUCUCGUCAGUUCUGAGUUGCCCCAGCUGUGUUUCCCUCUUGUUGUCCAUUUUCCUGAUUGCUCCCUCUAGGUAUUUAAACCCUGUGUUUCAGUGUGUCAUGGUCGCGAUCUCCCCCGUGUUGUAAAUAGUUUGGUGUUUUGUUGUAAAUAAAUAGUUUGUUGUAAAUAGAUUUGUCGAUACUUUCGUUUCGGGAUUUUGGUGGUGAGCUUUAGUGGGGGGUUUUUGUGUGUGUGUUUUUUUUUUUUUUUCCUUUAUUUUUACUUUUUUCGUGUUGCACUCCGGUUGCCUAGGCCGGGGUGUAACACAUGAGUCUAUGGCAUUAAAGUGUAGUAGGUUAGCAUUUUCAGAACUACCCUUACUCAGGUUUUUUUCAGUUAGAGGAGAUCAAUGCCUGCCUACCAUGCCUACCAGUUAAUUUUACAAGGCUGGUUGAGCCAAAAUACUCAAAUGGAUGUUGUUCAGUUGGUCUAGCCCCUCAGUUUGGUCUCAGUUGCCUCCAAAGCCUGAAAUAUGGGACUGCAGUUAAACACUCUCUUUCAACCCUUGUGAGGAUUUAGUGUUAUUCAUGGUGUAGUCAUUUGUAUUUCUAGUUCUCUUAGUUAUUUUCUGGUUAUAUUUGUAGUCUCUGGUCUUUAGGUUUUGUUUCUGUGCCUCUCCUGUGUUACAUCUAGUCACCCUUGUCUCUAUGU
ensembl:lncRNA